rnacentral:lncRNA from 1 species
AAUAAUGAAGAUGAUGAAGAAGAGAGCUGGAGAGCAAGAGGGCUUCACAUUCCUUUUCAACUCCACAUUUGGCGGCCUGUACUCCAACAUGGCAGCUCCCCCUGCCACGCAGCGGUGUGGGCUCUGGAGUCUGGGUGUGCACAGACCUGUGCCUAAAUCCUGGUUCCAGGACCAUCCUGGCUAACACAGUGAAACCCAGUCUCUACUAAAAACACGAAAAAAAAUUAGCUGGCCAUGGUGGCGGGCGCCUGUAGUCCCAGCUACUCGGGAGGGUGAGGUGGCAGAAUGGUGUGAACCCGGAAGGAGGAGCUUGCAGUGAGCCGAGAUCGCGUCACUGCACUCCAGCCCGGGCGACAGAAUGAGACUCCAUCUCAAAAAAACAAAACAAAACAAAACAAACAAACAAACAAACAAAAACAGAGUUUUAAGGAUGUCAUGAGCCAUAAGAGGAAAAAUGGUUAAAUUAGACUUCAUCAAAGUUAAACAUUUGCUCUAUGAAAGACCCU